UUGUGUUUUUUUUUUGUUUUUUUUCUAUUUCAGUUACUUUAAUAAAUUUAUAUAUUUUUUUUUUCUUUCAUAUGUCUAAUCUCUUCGCAGUGCCAUACAGAAAACUGUAAUUUAACCCCAUAAGGACACAUGGCAUGUGUGACAUGUCAUGAUUCCCUUUUAUUCCAGAUGUUUGGUCCUUAAGGAACACUAUAGAGUUAUGAAUACAAACGUAUUUCUAACGC